UUCAGCGACCCCAGGUGCCGUAAAUUAAGUCGAAUGAUUGCAGUGCCAGAGGAGAGAGGCGCUGCGCGAGCCCAAGCCGAACGACAGCCCAGAAGUUCCUCGCUAUUUUACACAGACAGUAGGGAGCCGCCGGCACUUCCGAUUGGCUGCUGGACAUCAUCACUGAGCCAUUAACGCCUGCUGACGCCUGUGUCGGCGGACACGCCCCCUCGACCGUGACAGUCUCGAGACCAGACGGUGGAGAACCGGUUCAGGAAGCGGACUGUAUGCACUAUGAACUGAUUAAGAAACGCCACGACUCUCUUCUGCUGGAUAGCUGGAACCUAGAGAACGACCAGAAAUACAAUUAGUUAAACAGUAGUAGUCAUGUCUAGCUUCGUUGUUGUAUUCUAGCUCAAUUAUUAGCUAGCUAGCUGCUCACUUUAGUAAGGUCCACCCCGGAUCCUACUAUUGGCAAUCCGUCCUCAUCCAUCGUUCUGUCCUUUCUGUAUUAUUUCCAAAAAAUUAGAGAUUUGUUUCAGAGUAUUAUUUUGGUGUAAAUUCGAAGCUUUUCCGAGAGUGUGAAGGAAACCACAAUAAAGGAAACUUCCGGAGACCAAACGGACGGAAAAA